rnacentral:rRNA from 1 species
UACGAAGGGGGCUAGCGUUGCUCGGAAUCACUGGGCGUAAAGGGUGCGUAGGCGGGUCUUUAAGUCAGGGGUGAAAUCCUGGAGCUCAACUCCAGAACUGCCUUUGAUACUGAAGAUCUUGAGUUCGGGAGAGGUGAGUGGAACUGCGAGUGUAGAGGUGAAAUUCGUAGAUAUUCGCAAGAACACCAGUAGCGAAGGCGGCUCACUGGCCCGGUACUGACGCUGAGGUGCGAAAAGCGUGGGGAGCAAACAGG